rnacentral:lncRNA from 1 species
GAUGUCAUCCACAUUGUCCGUUUCCUCGAGUCAUAUAAGUGGCCUUGUUCUCUUUGAUUCCUCAAUCGAUUGGACAAGUACAACACCAAUGUUUUGAAGUGUUCCAUGGUCAGCACCAUUCUGGGGGCAAGAAGUGAUAAGAACCUUCACCAUUCUCCCAUCACAGAAGUAAUCACGGAAUUUUUAGCUUUCAUUAAGAAGAAAUUCUAUUCCAGUUAAUAAGGGCAUCAAUUCUCUCAAGCAGGG